rnacentral:misc_RNA from 1 species
AGUCGUAACAAGGUUUCCGUAGGUGAACCUGCGGAAGGAUCAUUACUGAUUUGCUUAAUUGCACCACAUGUGUUUUUCUUUGAAACAAACUUGCUUUGGCGGUGGGCCCAGCCUGCCGCCAGAGGUCUAAACUUACAACCAAUUUUUUAUCAACUUGUCACACCAGAUUAUUACUAAUAGUCAAAACUUUCAACAACGGAUCUCUUGGUUCUCGCAUCGAUGAAGAACGCAGCGAAAUGCGAUACGUAAUAUGAAUUGCAGAUAUUCGUGAAUCAUCGAAUCUUUGAACGCACAUUGCGCCCUCUGGUAUUCCGGAGGGCAUGCCUGUUUGAGCGUCGUUUCUCCCUCAAACCGCUGGGUUUGGUGUUGAGCAAUACGACUUGGGUUUGCUUGAAAGACGGUAGUGGUAAGGCGGGAUCGCUUUGACAAUGGCUUAGGUCUAACCAAAAACAUUGCUUGCGGCGGUAACGUCUACCACGUAUAUCUUCAAACUUUGACCUCAAAUCAGGUAGGACUACCCGCUGAACUUAAGCAUAUCAAUAAGCGGAGGA